UACGGAGGGUGCGAGCAUUAAUCGGAUUUAUUGGGCGUAAAGGGCGCGUAGGCGGCAAUGCAAGUUGGAAUUGAAAUUCCGGGGCUCAACCUCGGAGCGGGUUCCAAAACUGCAUAGCUAGAGGAUGGUCGGGGAAAGCGGAAUUCCAUGUGUAGCGGUGAAAUGCGUAGAUAUAUGGAAGAACACCGGUGGCGAAGGCGGCUUUCUAGAUCAUACCUGACGCUGAGGCGCGAAAGCGAGGGUAGCAAACAGG
rnacentral:misc_RNA from 1 species